CGAAGCCUUCGGGCUUAGCGGCGGACGGGUGAGUAACGCGUGGGAACGUGCCCUUCUCUGCGGAAUAGCCACUGGAAACGGUGAGUAAUACCGCAUACGCCCUUCGGGGGAAAGAUUUAUCGGAGAAGGAUCGGCCCGCGUUAGAUUAGGUAGUUGGUGGGGUAAUGGCCUACCAAGCCUACGAUCUAUAGCUGGUUUGAGAGGAUGAUCAGCCACACUGGGACUGAGACACGGCCCAGACUCCUACGGGAGGCAGCAGUGAGGAAUCUUGGACAAUGGGGGCAACCCUGAUCCAGCCAUGCCGCGUGAACGAUGAAGGCCUUAGGGUUGUAAAGUUCUUUCAGCUGGGAAGAUAAUGACGGUACCAGCAGAAGAAGCCCCGGCUAACUCCGUGCCAGCAGCCGCGGUAAUACGGAGGGGGCUAGCGUUGUUCGGAAUUACUGGGCGUAAAGCGCGCGUAGGCGGAUUGGAAAGUUGGGGGUGAAAUCCCAGGGCUCAACCCUGGAACUGCCUCCAAAACUACCAGUCUAGAGUUCGAGAGAGGUGAGUGGAAUUCCGAGUGUAGAGGUGAAAUUCGUAGAUAUUCGGAGGAACACCAGUGGCGAAGGCGGCUCACUGGCU
rnacentral:rRNA from 1 species